rnacentral:rRNA from 1 species
CAAUAGCGUAUACUAAUGUUGUUGCAGUUAAAAAGCUCGUAGUUGAACUUCUGGUAGGAGUGUCCCGGCCUUUUUGUUUUUACAAAUUGUAUGCUGUGUGACAUCUCUGGCCAUCCUUCUUCUUUGUUUAAAGAAGAUCUUUCACUGUAAAAAAAUUAGGGUGUUCAAAGCAAAAGUUUCUUUGGAAUAUAUUAGUAUGGGAUGAUAAGAUAGGCUCUAGAUGCUAUUUUGUUGGUUUGCACAUUUAGAGAAUGAUUAACAGGGACAGUUGGGGGUAUUCGUAUUUACAUGUCAGAGGUGAAAUUCUUGGAUUUUGGAAAGACGAACUACUGCGAAAGCAUUUACCAAGGAUGUUUUCAUUA